UUUUGGACAAUGGGCGCAAGCCUGAUCCAGCCAUGCCGCGUGCGGGAAGAAGGCCUUCGGGUUGUAAACCGCUUUUGUCAGGGAAGAAAAGUUCUGGGCUAAUACCCCGGGACGAUGACGGUACCUGAAGAAUAAGCACCGGCUAACUACGUGCCAGCAGCCGCGGUAAUACGUAGGGUGCGAGCGUUAAUCGGAAUUACUGGGCGUAAAGCGUGCGCAGGCGGUCUUGCAAGACAGAUGUGAAAUCCCCGGGCUUAACCUGGGAACUGCAUUUGUGACUGCAAGGCUGGAGUACGGUAGAGGGGGAUGGAAUUCCGCGUGUAGCAGUGAAAUGCGUAGAUAUGCGGAGGAACACCGAUGGCGAAGGCAAUCCCCUGGACCUGUACUGACGCUCAUGCACGAAA
rnacentral:rRNA from 1 species